AUGAACGUUGGCGGCGUGGAUUAGGCAUGCAAGUCGAGCGAGAACCGUCCUUCGGGACGGGGACAGCGGCGAAAGGGACAGUAAUGUGUAGAUCAUCUGCCCUCAGGCCCGGGAUAGCUGCGGGAAACUGCAGGUAAUACCGGAUAACAUCUCCGGAUCAAAGGUGUGAUUCCGCCUGAGGAUGAGUCUGCAUCCUAUUAGCUAGUUGGUAGGGUAACGGCCUACCAAGGCAAUGAUGGGUAGCGGGUGUGAGAGCACGACCCGCGUCACUGGGACUGAGACACUGCCCAGACACCUACGGGUGGCUGCAGUCGAGAAUCUUCGGCAAUGGACGCAAGUCUGACCGAGCGACGCCGCGUGUGGGAUGAAGGCCUUCGGGUUGUAAACCACUGUCAGAGGGGAGGAAAUGCCGGUGGGUUCUCCCAUCGGUUUGACCUAUCCUCAGAGGAAGUACGGGCUAAGUUCGU
rnacentral:rRNA from 1 species